UAAUUAUUAUUUUAACAUUAUGAAUUGUAGUGAAUCUGAAUGUCAAAAUAAUAAUUAAAAUAAUAACGUAUCCAAGCUGGUGUAUUGACAAAUGCAUAACUGCUCCGACACAAAAUAAUACACAGCCACUUAAAGCUUCUUGUAAAAUGUUAAAAAAUGAUGUUCUUGUUGUCAUUAUACUCAAAUGGGCUGUAUUAAAUAACUUUAUUACCUUUUAAUAUAUGUAUUCACAUUUAUCUUAUGCUGGAAAAAUAAAAGUUGCAAUAAAUGUUUGGGGUAAACCGUUGUAUAUUUAAAAAAUGUUGCUGGCUUGGAUCCUCAAAUAUUUUUCACAGAAGAAAUUUUGAUAUGUCACAGGAGGAAAACCACAGGUGUAAAUAAUAAAAUGAAUGAUUCUACGGUUUCAGGGUUCUGGUAGUGCACACCCGUGCUUUUCCUAAUAUGACAAGUCAAAAUGUCUGCUGUGGAAAAGGCCUAUACAAACUGAA